CGGAUUGAGAGGGUGCCGGGGCCGAGCAGGGUUGUCCCCUCUCGCUGGCCGCUCUCGCACCGGAAUUUCCGAAUUGAAGUAGUGAGGGCUGCCUGGCGGCAGCGGCCAGAAGACAACCCGGAGACCUACUCCCGGCGCUAGGGGCCCCGUCCCUGGGCUCGGCUACCCUUGAUUCUGCGUUUACACAGCGCUUUGUUGGAUACUGCCAACCACCCUGGACGAAAAAGUUUGCUGAUCCCGGCUUAGACUGUGAGCAACAUCGGCAACCUCGGUGCUCAUUCACUGCUGUAUCCCUGACACCUAGAAUGGAAGCUGGCACACAGUGGAGAAACUGAGGCUCGAGCCCAGGUCAUCCUGAUUCCUAAAUCCCCGCUCCUCGUCCCUCUGCCACCCAGUUCACCAUUUCGGCUCCCACUCACCUGGGCGUCGCGGAGAAAACGUCUGGGUGCAGCUCGGUCAGACCCAAGCGCUCCUGCUCGUAGCCCCGCAGGGCCUCGACCCAGGCCUGCACGGGACGCCGGUGCCCGAGUACCGGGAGCUCGCACCUGCGCAGCACGGGCACCCGGGGACCUGGAGCGAUUGGGAGGUCAGGGGUCAGGGGCAAGGGUCAGAGUUUCCGGUUGCCACCCCUCCUAGGGCAACCCCAGCAACCUCACCCGCGCUCGCCACCGGUUCUGGUUUCUCCGCCGGCUGCACUGCCUCUUCUGCCAGCGCCUUCAGGCCCUGUAAACGGUGAGCAAGAGUGAGAGACGAUUCCCGUACCCUCCAACCUUUGUCCUCCGACCCCGCCCUCAGUCCCCGGCCUCACCCGGCAGCCCUUGGGCCGAAGCCAGGCCCGCGCCCCGGCCCGGACUAGCUGCAGCAUUGUCGCGCAGCUCCCCACGCUUAGAGAGGUCAAGGCUUCCUCUGCUGGACUCUCUCGACGCCUCGCGAUGACGUCACGCCCGCGACGCCGCCGGCCGGGUUUGUAUUCGGCGUUAGAAAGUUGGGCGAGCAAGAGCAAAGACGGCGGGGCCCGCUAACGCCUGUCCCCACCUCCGCCCCAAGACUAACCCCAGACGCUAAUUUUCACUGCUGGCCUAAAGGAACCCUCUGCAACACCUGGGAGCGCGACCCCACAGCAAGAAACCCCGCCCCCUCUUCGGUCCCGCCCCCAAAGAGCCGGUGCGGUCAUCCAGCCAGUGAAACCUCCCUACUCAAAGGGCACGCUCCUCGUUCAGCCAAUGAGCGUUAAGUCUGGAAAAGUGGCUGGGCGGUGCUAGGGCGGGCACCUAAGGGAAUAUGGCCAAUAACUGUUACGCUUUUUUUUUUUUUGACGGCCACGUCCCCAGGGCCCGGCCGCUUCGUGCCUCCCAGACCCUAGCCGUUGGUUUCUCCAGGAACGUGGUUUUGUUUGCUUGUUUGUUUAAAUGCAGGGCGUUAUCUCUCACAGAAAGCCCUCAGGGUAGGGCCUGGCGGAUCGUGCUUCUCCUCUUAGAUUCCCCCAGGGCACGUCCCCCUCAAAUGCGUCAGGUUAGGAGAUGCGACUCCCCCCAUCUCCUAGGCCAAGGUCCUGUCGCGUCUCAGACUGCCAGGGCUCUCCGAGAGCAAACUGGGGAGUCCACAGAUCCUGCGUUGCCUCCCUCGUCCACUCUCACCAACAGAAAUCCAAACGCUCAUUUUUUAGGUUCUUUGCCACGUUCCCCGUCAGGCCUCCAGGCGGCGCCACGAGCCCAUAGCAGCCUGCCCUGGCGGGCCAGACCUGAGCGCUUGAUUGGCAGUGAGAAAUGGACCGAGUUUAGCCGCCGAGAACGUGGUCUGGGAGCCAACCUCAGUGUCCUCAUCUGGAAAAUGGGGAGGUGUGAGAUUCGAUGAAAUGAUGGAGGCAAAGCAUGCCAUGUGUAGAACAUGCGUAGCUUUAUUAUUAUUA